rnacentral:rRNA from 1 species
UACGGGGGGGGGCAAGGCGUUGUUCGGGAAUUACUUGGGCGUUAAAGGGGCGCGUAGGCGGUUGGGAUAAGUCAGCUGUGAAAAACCCACGGGCUUAACUCGUGGCCUGCAGUUGAGACUGGUCUGGCUUGAGUGUGGGGAGAGGAGAGUGGAAUUCCUGGUGUAAGCGGUGAAAUGCGUAGAUAUCAGGAGGAACACCGGUGGCGAAGGGCGGGCUCUCGUGGACCACAACUGACGCUGAGGCGCGAAAAGCUAGGGGGAGCAAACAGG